UUCCGGUUGAUCCUGCCGGACCUGACUGCUAUCGGAUUGAUACUAAGCCAUGCGAGUCAUCGUAGCAAUACAAGGCAGACGGCUCAGUAACGCGUAGUCAACCUACCCUAUGGACGGGAAUAACCUCGGGAAACUGAGUAUAAUGCCCGAUAGAACACUAUACCUGGAAUGGUUUGUGUUCCAAAUGAUUUAUCGCCGUAGGAUGGGACUGCGGCCUAUCAGUUUGUUGGUGAGGUAAUGGCCCACCAAGACUAUUACAGGUACGGGCUCUGAGAGGAGUGGCCCGGAGAUGGGUACUGAGACACGGACCCAGGCCCUAUGGGGCGCAGCAGGCGAGAAAACUUUGCAAUGUGCGAAAGCACGACAAGGUUAAUCCGAGUGGUUUCUGCUAAAGGAACCUUUUGACAGUCCUAGAAACACUGUUGAAUAAGGGGUGGGCAAGUUCUGGUGUCAGCCGCCGCGGUAAAACCAGCACCUCAAGUGGUCAGGAUGAUUAUUGGGCCUAAAGCAUCCGUAGCCGGCUCAGUAAGUUUUCGGUUAAAUCUGUACGCUCAACGUACAGGCUGCCGGGAAUACUGCAGAGCUAGGGAGUGGGAGAGGUAGACGAUACUCGGGAGGAAGUGGUAAAAUGCUUUGAUCUUUCGAUGACCACCUGUGGCGAAGGCGGUCUACCAGAACACGUCCGACGGUGAGGGAUGAAAGCUGGGGGAGCAAACCGGAUUAGAUACCCGGGUAGUCCCAGCUGUAAACUAUGCAAACUCAGUGAUGCAUUGGCUUGUGGCCAAUGCAGUGUUGCAGGGAAGCCGUUAAGUUUGCCGCCUGGGAAGUACGUACGCAAGUAUGAAACUUAAAGGAAUUGGCGGGGGAGCACCACAAGGGGUGAAGCCUGCGGUUCAAUUGGAUUCAACGCCGGG
rnacentral:rRNA from 1 species